UGGGGAAUUUUGGACAAUGGGGGCAACCCUGAUCCAGCCAUUCCGCGUGAGUGAAGAAGGCCUUCGGGUUGUAAAGCUCUUUCAGCUGGAACGAAACGGUGCGCUCUAACAUAGCGUGCUAAUGACGGUACCAGCAGAAGAAGCACCGGCUAACUACGUGCCAGCAGCCGCGGUAAUACGUAGGGUGCGAGCGUUGUUCGGAGUUACUGGGCGUAAAGAGUGCGUAGGCGGUUUUCUAAGUUCGGUGUGAAAUCUCCCGGCUUAACUGGGAGGGUGCGCCGAAGACUGGGAAGCUGGAGUGUGGGAAAGGCAGGCGGAAUUCCUGGUGUAGCGGUGAAAUGCGUAGAUAUCAGGAGGAACACCGGCGGUGUAGACGGCUUGCUAGACCAUAACUGACGCUGAGGCACGAAAGCGUGGGUAGCAAACA
rnacentral:rRNA from 1 species